rnacentral:rRNA from 1 species
AACCCCAAGCAUUAAAAGAAUGACUAGCGGACGUUGUGCCGUCUAAACUUUAACAACUUUCAACAACGGAUCUCUUGGCUCUCGCAUCGAUGAAGAACGCAGCGAAAUGCGAUAAGUAAUGUGAAUUGCAGAAUUCAGUGAAUCAUCGAAUCUUUGAACGCACCUUGCGCUCCUUGGUAUUCCGAGGAGCAUGCCUGUUUGAGUGUCUUGAAGUCAUCAACCUCUCCCGUUUUGCGACGGGUCCGGGUUGGAGCCUGGGGGAUUGCGGCCGCGAGGCUGCUCCCCUCAAAUGCAUCGGUUGGGCCUGCGGGUCGAACUCGGUUGGGCGUUGUACCAUCCUCGCUCUUAUCCCGAGAUGUUCCCCCAUUAAUGUGCCCUCCCACGACCGCCCCCAUUCUGGAGUCGGCGGUCAAGCUUUUGAAGCACUUUGAAAUCUGACCUCAAAUCAGGUAGGACUACCCGCUGAACUUAAGCAUAUCAAUAAGCGGAGGAAAAGAAACUAACAAGGAUUCCCCUAGUAACUGCGAGUGAAGCGGGAAAAGCUCAAAUUUGAAAUCUGGCGGCCCCGCCGUCCGAGUUGUAUUCUGGAGAAGCGUUUUCCGUGC